GAUGAACGCUAGCGGCAGGCCUAAUACAUGCAAGUCGGACGGGAUCCAUUGAUAGCUUGCUAUCAAUGGUGAGAGUGGCGCACGGGUGCGUAACGCGUGAGCAACCUGCCUCCAUCAGGGGGAUAGCCUCUCGAAAGAGGGAUUAACACCGCAUAAUAUCAACAGUUCGCAUGUUCAGUUGAUUAAAUAUUUAUAGGAUGGAGAUGGGCUCGCGUGACAUUAGCUAGUUGGUAGGGUAACGGCUUACCAAGGCGACGAUGUCUAGGGGCUCUGAGAGGAGAAUCCCCCACACUGGUACUGAGACACGGACCAGAUUCCUACGGGAGGCAGCAGUAAGGAAUAUUGGUCAAUGGGCGGAAGCCUGAACCAGCCAUGCCGCGUGCAGGAUGACUGCCCUAUGGGUUGUAAACUGCUUUUGUCCAGGAAUAAACCUAAAUACGAGUAUUUAGCUGAAUGUACUGGAAGAAUAAGGAUCGGCUAACUCCGUG
rnacentral:rRNA from 1 species